rnacentral:lncRNA from 1 species
AUAGAGUCAGCAGAGAAGACGUGUCCUACACUGAAAAUGUGUCCCCCAUGGACUUGGAGGACAAAGAACACACCUCAAAAUCUUCAUUGAAACCUGAAGGACUUGGGGACUUCAAAAAUGAUUCAACUAGUACUGGAAGUCUGGAAAAUGGAUGUUGUGUUAAAGGAGUAUGUGGAGAUUUUCAUACUACCCCUGAAGAGACCCACAGCUCCUCUACACUGUCCCAGAAUAACACAUUCAGUGUCUGGGAGGUUGAAGUGCCUAAGCAUCUUGUUGGUCGAUUGAUCGGAAAACAGGGGAAACAUAUUGGCUUCGUGAAGAAGAACUCUGGCGCCAAAAUGUUUGUCUCCACAUUACCUUUUAUCCAGGAC